rnacentral:rRNA from 1 species
CGGGGGGCUGCAGUGAGGAAUCUUGCGCAAUGGGGGCAACCCUGACGCAGCAACGCCGCGUGAGUGAGGAAGGUCUUCGGAUCGUAAAGCUCUGUCAGUUGGGAAGAAACGCUUGGAAGCCAAUACCUUUCAUGCUUGACGGUACCAACAGAGGAAGCACCGGCUAACUCCGUGCCAGCAGCCGCGGUAAUACGGAGGGUGCAAGCGUUGUUCGGAAUUAUUGGGCGUAAAGAGCGUGUAGGCGGCCGGAUAUGUCAGAUGUGAAAGCCCUGAGCUCAACUCAGGAAGUGCAUUUGAAACUGUCCGGCUAGAGUAGGGGAGAGGGAAGUGGAAUUCCUGGUGUAGAGGUGAAAUUCGUAGAUAUCAGGAGGAACACCGGUGGCGAAGGCGACUUCCUGGCCCUAUACUGACGCUGAGACGCGAGAGCGUGGGUAGCAAACAGGAUUAGAUACCCGAGUAGUC